AUUGAACGCUGGCGGCAGGCCUAACACAUGCAAGUCGAGCGGAUGAAGGGAGCUUGCUCCUGGAUUCAGCGGCGGACGGGUGAGUAAUGCCUAGGAAUCUGCCUGGUAGUGGGGGAUAACGUCCGGAAACGGGCGCUAAUACCGCAUACGACCUGAGGGAGAAAGUGGGGGAUCUUCGGACCUCACGCUAUCAGAUGAGCCUAGGUCGGAUUAGCUAGUUGGUGGGGUAAAGGCCUACCAAGGCGACGAUCCGUAACUGGUCUGAGAGGAUGAUCAGUCACACUGGAACUGAGACACGGUCCAGACUCCUACGGGAGGCAGCAGUGGGGAAUAUUGGACAAUGGGCGAAAGCCUGAUCCAGCCAUGCCGCGUGUGUGAAGAAGGUCUUCGGAUUGUAAAGCACUUUAAGUUGGGAGGAGGGGCAGUAAGUUAAUACCUUGCUGUUUUGACGUUACCAACAGAAUAAGCACCGGCUAACUUCGUG
rnacentral:rRNA from 1 species